GGUCGGUUAGCUCAGUUGGUUAGAGCGUGGUGCUAAUAUCAUCCUCAUGAUAUACCUGGUACGCCAAGGUCGCGGGUUCGACCCCCGUACUGACCA
rnacentral:tRNA from 1 species